AGGGGCGUAGCUCAGUUGGCCAGAGCACCGGUCUCCAAAACCGAUGGUCGCAGGUUCGAGUCCUGCCGCCCCUGC
rnacentral:tRNA from 1 species